ACUGAACGCUGGCGGCAGGCUUAACACAUGCAAGUCGAGCGGGGUGAUGGUGCUUGCACAAUCACUUAGCGGCGGACGGGUGAGUAAUGCUUAGGAAUCUGCCUAUUAGUGGGGGACAACAUCUCGAAAGGGAUGCUAAUACCGCAUACGUCCUACGGGAGAAAGCAGGGGAUCACUUGUGACCUUGCGCUAAUAGAUGAGCCUAAGCCGGAUUAGCUAGUUGGUGGGGUAAAGGCCUACCAAGGCGACGAUCUGUAGCGGGUCUGAGAGGAUGAUCCGCCACACUGGGACUGAGACACGGCCCAGACUCCUACGGGAGGCAGCAGUGGGGAAUAUUGGACAAGGGGGGGAACCCUGAUCCAGCCAUGCCGCGUGUGUGAAGAAGGCCUUAUGGUUGUAAAGCACUUUAAGCGAGGAGGAGGCUCUUUUGGUUAAUACCCAAGAUGAGUGGACGUUACUCGCAGAAUAAGCACCGGCUAACUCUGUGCCAGCAGCCGCCGUAA
rnacentral:rRNA from 1 species